GUGCAGCAGUCGAGAAAACUUUACAAUGUGCGAAAGCACGAUAAGGGAACUCUGAGUGCCUCCUAAGGAGGCUGUUCAGGUGUCUAAAAAGCACCUGGAGUAAGGGCUGGGUAAGACCGGUGCCAGCCGCCGCGGUAACGACCGGCAGCCCAGGUGGUAGCCACUUUUAUUGGGUCUAAAGCCGUCCGUAGCCGGUUGAGUAAGUUCCUUGGGAAAUUUGGGCUGCUCAACAGUCAAGCUUCCAGGGAAUACUGCUCGACUUGGGGACUGGGAGAGGUCAGAGGUACUCCAGGGGUAGGGGUGAAAGUCCAUU
rnacentral:rRNA from 1 species